AUCCACACUCAAAAAAAUGGUUUUCCGGCACUGUUCGUUUUACACAUAUAUGUUUUGUUAAAACAACACAAAUAUAUUUAGUUUUCCGACAAAACACAAUUGUAUUGUGUUUAAUCAACUUAAAAUGUUUAAUUUUAAAUUUUACUUAAUUAUCAAUCGUUAAAGUAACGUAAAGGGUUUAAUUUCGUGAUUCAAAAAAAACCGGAAGUGACGAUUUCCAACGCAUUUGAUGACGGUGUGGAGGGGAGCAAGAGGUAUCAGUCAGGUUUGUGCAGAAUUUGAGACAUCCAGAAUUACCAUAGGCCCAUUAGAAUCAACAAUCUUUGCCAAACUUGAUUCGGACUGCAAAAUUUACGAAGAUGUUUUCAUACUGAAGAAGAGACCUUGGACAAAUACUGAAACCCUCUUGGUGCCCACUACACAGGCAGGGGUGUCCAGACCUGCUCUAGGAAAGCCAGUGUUCUGUGGGGUUCAGCUCUAACACACCUGCCUGGAACUUCAGACUAAUGAAAUUGAAGUAUCCAAAUGAAGACCCUAGCAGUAUGGAGUAUAUGGAUACAGACGUUGCCAGCAGUCAGGAGGUGAUCCAGAAGACUCAUGGGAAUCUAUUUGAAGCUGCAUCAUUGAAGACAGUCCAGCAGAAGUUGGAGUUUUAAAGGAUAAAGUUCUUCAGGACCUAUAGCAGUUUACAGUCUGUAAAACCAUGUUACUGGGACUGAUUUAUGGACUGAACUUGAGCAACCCUCCUGAACCCAGGUACACAUUUGGAAUACUGAAGAAGUUAUUUCUGGAGCCACUUCCUGUUCCUGGAAUAAGGUUUGAUUGGUUGCCCAUGAAUGCCAAUUAGAAUUGUAUUUGCUAUUUUGUGUAAUUUUGUAAUGUGGUUUAAACUGUAUUUUACUGUGUGUAAUUAUUUAUUGCUUGUUUAACAAAUACACUUUGAUCAUUUGUGA